UGGUUAUAUUGUCCUUCUUGGACGUUCUCCUGUAUCUUGGAAGACCAAGAAGCAACCCACUGUGGCACGUUCCUCCGCUGAAGCUGAAUAUCGCUCUAUGGCUGUUACUACUUGUGAGUUGAAGUGGUUGAAGUCGUUACUGCGUUCCCUAGGUGUGAUUCAUUCUUCUCCUAUGCAGUUGUUUUGUGACAGUCAAUCGGCUCUUCAUAUUGCUAAAAAUCCCGUAUUCCAUGAUCGAACUAAGCAUAUCGAAGUUGAUUGUCAUUUUAUACGUGAUGAGCUACAAUCUAGGAACAUUGCUACUGCUUAUGUGCCGACAAGUCAUCAGUUGGCUGAUUUCCUAACUAAGGCCCUUGGGCGUCAGCAGUUCGGUUUUCUUCUGCGCAAGUUGGGCAUUAGUGAUUUGCAUGCUCCAACUUGAGGGGGAGUAUUAGAGAUAUUUAUGUAAAGUUAAUAUGUUAAGUUAAUAUUAUGUUUCCUUUUUGGAUUAGGUUUAGGUUGGGAGUUUUAUGUAAAUAUGGGCUUGUAGUGCUUUGUAUAUAAAGAGGCUUAAAAGGCUAAUGAAAGUCAACGUGCAGUUUUCUCCCAAAACUUCUUCCACAAUUAUUAACACUGUUAGCUGAAGACAGUUUUUGUAAGAGAGGACAAAAAAACUCGGAAGAAGAAAGAAAGGAGAAAAGAGGUAGAAAAUGGUGGUAGAAUUAUUUGUGUUAGGAUGUACAGGUAUGGUCAUGUUCUAUCAUGGAGCUCAUGUACUCUUUCAUGCCCUCUUCUCUCAUGUUGCUCUUCGUUCUCUCAGUUUCUUGGGAUUUGUUGGAUGGUAAAUUUGAGAUGAGAGGUGAAUAGUGAUCAGCAGAAGGACAAAGCAAAAUUAGUGUUGUAGAUAUUAAUUUGUCUCUUGUUUACAGGAUUACUAGAUAGUUAUUGCUUGAAAAACACUCUAAAAAAGCUCUUACAUAAAAAAUAAGAGUGUUUCACUUAUUAUGAAAUGGAGAAAGUAUAAAAUAGAUUGGAUAUAUGCAAUUGAAACAUGUUUUAAUAACUGUCAUUCAAGGAAUUUCAUCCUAUAUUUUUAGCACGUCAAUCAUAUUUAUAGGUAUUUGAUGCUCAA